rnacentral:lncRNA from 1 species
AAGGAAGUUUCCUAGAAAAAUCCUCCCGCUCCACCCUGCAAACUUUAUGCUUUUCUGUUACAUAAUCAGGCAGGGGCAAGACCUAAACUAUUUUGAAUUGGUGGUGUUGAGGCUAAAUUCUCUGCUAUUGACAGAAUUGAGAAUGUGAUCAAUUUCAGAGUAGCAUGUUACAAAUUUUGUCCCAAUUUCAAUGGGGAGAAUUAUAACAAAUCAGUAGUGGUUGGCAGAAUCUGUUCUUACUUUCCUCCCAUCCAGUGACUAGGAUUUGGAAAGCAGUGUUUUCUAUCAGGAUGAUAUACCAACAUCACAUUUUUAAUGCUAAGAGCCGAGCACCUCAGCAAGCUCUUCUGAACACACCCUGCAUGCUGUCUCCCUUGUACAUCUCUAGCUGAUGAUUCAAAAAAGAAACCUUUUAAUCUCACUCCACUGAUCAGCUAUGAUACUUAAAUGUUUUAGCUGUGAGCAAAAUAAUAUGCAUUCUCAAAGAGAGUAUCUUCAGACUCCAGUGGCCGAGAAUCUAGAGUUAGCAAUGGAAAAAUUAGUCUCGGGCUUCUGUUUCUGCCCACAGUUUUCAAAUUAAGAACAAUGUGUUUGCACUUAAUGAAACAACCUCUACUGCUCUUCAAGAGGACUCAGGAUACCGAUUCUCGAGGCCCCUGGCGGUCCCCUUGGCAUAAAACACUUCAAUCACACGUAGCUUUCUGGAGCAACAGACCAUGGGCUGAGGAUUGAGUUUCCGGGAGCCACAGCAAGGCUCUCCAAUGCCAUCUUUCUGUCUCACUGCUGAAAGUCAAGAAUCACAGUGCUGAUCUUCAGAAACUGUGGGUUCAGAAACUCACCUGGUCACUAGAAUUACUCUCCCCACUUUACCUCUGCUACCCCGGAGAUCCCCGAGACCAGUCCCUUUUGGGGAGCCCUUGAUGGCAUCUUCACUAGUAGCCCUUUGGCUCACAUGGGAAUACCCCCAGGGACUCCUCGCAAGAGGGCUAUGAGGGAGGCUUCAUUAUUCUAGUGUUGAAGCCCAGAGUCUCAACCUAAUCAGCGCUUUCCUUCAAGUUCGAGCCUCCAGGAGGAGCCAAGGAGUUUCAACAGCGUUUCAAAGUUCGCAGUUUGUAUUCUGCUGCACCAGAGACAUCAUUGAAUCUUACAGCUGAUGCUACCUUCUUUCCCACACCUGGAUUCACCCAAAGUCCUGGAGAACAGCACAUGGUGGAGAGAAACCCCUAGCCAAUUUUCCCUUCUGAAAGAUAAGAGCAAGACACCUGGGUGAACUGGUGGCUGAGGGACCUCCGCUCCUGGAUACAUGUCCGUAAUCAUUCAUGGAGUGAGAAAAUCGGCCUGUAUGUUACCACUAAAGAAGCUAGUCUGUAAGAAUGUAUUGAUUUAAGUAUAUAUAAAAAUACAUAGAGUAAAUUAUAACUCCCCUAGGCACAAUUUCAUUAUAUACCUUAAAAAAUACAUAGAUGCCACUCACUUCACUGCUAACAAAAAUGACAAUAUCAUUUAUCAUUCCAACCAUGGUACUUUUUUUUUUUUUUUUUUGAGUCAGAGUCUUGCUCUGUUGCCCAGGCUGGAGUGCAGUGGUGCAAUCUUGGCUAACUGCAAUCUCCGCCUCCCGGGUUCAAGCGAUUCUCCUGCCUCAGCCUCCCGAGUAGCUGGGACUACAGGCGUGUGCCACCACGCCCAGAUAAUAAUUUUUUGAAUUUUUAGUAGAGAUGAGGUUUCGCCGUGUUAGCCAGGAUGGUCUCAAUCUCCUGACCUCGUGAUCCGCCUGCCUCGGCCUCCCAAAGUGCUGGGAUUACAGGCAUGAGCCACCACACCCGGCCCCAUGGUAUUUUGACUACAAAAUGAGACACAAUACAUGAAAAAGUGGUCUACUGUGGAUCACUACUCUCAAUGAAAAGAAACAAACUAUUGAUACAUUUGACAAACCAAGACUUUCUCCCCAAAACUGGGCUGUGUGGUCCCCUAACUCUACCUGAUAGGGAAAAGAAAAGUGAGUUGGGAAUGAGGAAAGUAUUUUUUUGGAGGGAGGUUUGUUUUAGGUUGGUUUUUGUUGUUGUUAUGAUUUGACUGUGAUUCCUCCAUAGAGUAAAACACAGUCAGUUCUUGUUGUUUGUGGUUAUUAUGUUCUUUAAAGAACAUAAUUGCUGUGAGCACUGAAUUAGCAAAUACUGAACUGUUGCUCCCACGGGAAAUACAGAGGACGUUCCUUCGAGCCUGUGGUCACACAUUGUCAUAAAACAAUCGAUACACGACCUUGUUUUAUGUGUGUUUCUGUUAAAGGACACCUUGUUUAACAUACAGCAUUGAUUUAUUAACAUUGAAUUCAUGACCAACAGUACUAUAACUAACGCUUGAACAAGGCUUAUCAACACAUCUCUUUUCUUCAUACGGUACAUCAAAGACUUCUUGCACUUAGGAAUACUAGAUGGCACUAUAUCACUGUAGUGAAAUCAGCAGCAAAAAGCACAACAUGAGAAAAAUGUGGCACUAAAUAGAACACACACCAAAAGGACAGUUGUGUACAAUAUGAGAUAUAAAACAGGAGCAAGGCAGAAUGUCGCCUUGUUGAACCUCAUCUGGGAACAUGAACUUUGGGUGACAAUUUUUUCGCUGCUCUCCACAUGUCUGUGAAGGGACAUGAAAUAGCUGUGGCUAUUGAUUUGAGAGUUACAGGUAAUUUUAGGGAGUAGGCAGGUCUGUAAAUAUGAAAUCCAUGAGUAAUGAUGACUGACUGUAGAUUCUUGUCCCUAACUCUUAGGUGUACCUUUAUUUAAAGUUAGGCUCACCAAGUAGAUUUCAAGAGGUCUCUAAGAGUGGAUCUAAAAUGGAGAACAAAUGACCUCAGGAGAUGUAGAUAAAAUAUGUCUCUUCAAACUGGUUUUGCACCAGUAAUGAGACAGUGACGCAAGUCCUCUGUAUCCUCGCUGUGCUUGUUUUUGUCCCUAUUUUCAUCAUUCUGCUAGACGUGCAGUAAUACUUUUCUGUGGUUUUAAUUUGCAUUUCUCUAAUAGUACAGUUUGGCAGUUUUUUAAACAGUUAAAUAUUCAACUGCAUUUAUAUAUGACCCAGCAAUUGUACUCUUUGGCAUUUAUUCCAGGGAAAUGAGAACAAACUUGAACAUUGUGGCACAUCUAUUUAUAAUAACCAAGAACUGGAAAUAAUCAGAUAUCUCUCCAUGGAAAAAUGGUUAUUAAACAAAACAUAGUACAACUUACUAUGGAUCACUACUCCCAAUAAAAAGGAACAAACUGUUGAUGCAUUCAGCAACCUUAAUGAAUCACCAAAGAACUAUCCUAAGUGAAAAUAAAGCCAGUUUCCCAAGAUUAUAUAUGGUAGGAUUCCCUUUAUAUAACAUCCUUGAAAUGAGAAAAUGAUAGAAAUGGAGAAUAGACUAGUGGUUGCCAGGGGGUUAAGGUGGGAAUCCAUGCAGGAAGGAAGUGGCUAUAACGAUAAAAGAGAAACAUGAGGAAUCCUUGCUGUGAUGAAAAUGCUCUGAAUCUUGACUGUAUCUAUGUCAGUAUCUUGGUUAUAAUAUUGUCUUAUGCUUUUGCAAGAUGUUACCAUUGGGGAAUACUAGGCAUAAGCACAUGAGAUCCCUCUCUCGUAGUUCUUACAACUCCGUGUGAAUCUAUGAUUACCUCAGUAUAAAAAGCUUAUUUAUAAAUAAAUGAAGGAAAAAUAAAGACUUUCUCAAACCAGCCAAACUACACACCACACACACACACACACACACACACACACACACACACACACACAGAGUUUUAUUCUUUCCAAGUUUGAACUGAUUCUUAUUCCUUCUUCAGUCAUUCAACAAGCUGUUACCCUUUAAAGAGGCUAAGGAGAGAUUAAUUAGAUAUUAGUUCGUAAGAUACAUUUUUCAAAUUUCUUAAAAUAUAUGUACAUGUACAAUUUAGUGAAAGCAAAAAAAACUUUGAUAGUAAUAAUAUUGAAGAUCCAAAUCUGUAUUAAGUCAAAUAUUUAGUGAUAUAAUUUUCAUUUCAAAAUGGUUUUUACAUAAAGUAAAACUGUGUACAAUAAAGUAAAUAAUUUUAAUGCAAUUUAUUCUUUUUUUGGAUGAGGAAACUGAGGCUCCCUUCUUAUGUGGAAAAAUGGUUGGCAUUGCCAUUAGUGCAGAGUUGAUUGGGGCUAAAUUGAUGCACUCUUUGGACCAUAAAGUCAAGAGCAGAUAUGUAAAACCACGAUGUGUCAUUAUGGAUGAUCCAGUUUCUUUUUAAAUCAGAAUCUCUGGGGCAUGAACAAAGUCUUUAUAUAAGGUACUAUUCUGUCUUAUGGGCUCUCUCUAUAUGAUUUUUCUAUAUAUGCAGAUAUAUAAGGAAAGGGCUGACAAUAAUCAUGUAGGAUACAUAAAAUAUUAUUUUCUUUCUGAAAGGAAAGGGAAUGGGCCUCCUCUGGUUAAAAUUUAUAUUAGAUUUCGUAGACUGCUAGGGCUGCCAUCACAAAGUACCACAGACAGGGACACUUAAAGAAAAGAAAUAUAUUGUCUCACGGUUCUGGAGGCUACAAGUCAAAGAUCAAGGAGUCAGUGGGAUUGGUUGCUUCUGAGGCUGUGAGGGGCAAUCUGUUUCAUGCCUCUCUCCUAACUCUGGUUAUUUGCCGGCCAUUUUUGGUGUCCCUUGGCUUAUAGAAUCAUUGCUCCAAUCCCUGACUUACCUUCACGUGUUGUUCUUCCUGUGUGAGUCUGUCUUUGUGUUCAAAUUGCUUCCUUUAAUAAGGACACCAGUCAUACUGGAUUAGGGUCCCACCCUCAUCCGUGAAGUAUGACCUCAUACUAACUAAUUACAUCUUCAAUGACCCUAUUUCCAAAUAUGACCACAGACUGAGGCACUGCAGGUUAAGGCUUCAACAUAAGAAUUUUGGGGGACACAAUUCAACUCAUAACAGAUUUUCUCUCUCAUUCUUACCCCAUGGAUAGGAUAUAACAGACAAAGCCCUCUUUAGGUUAUCAAAUAAAUUGUGCCCAAGAUGCAAUGGGCGAAAAGUGUCCUAAGCAACAUAAAGAUAAGCAGCCAUUGUAAUAGAUAUAUUUUUGGCCUUAUUUUAUCUAAAUCAAAAGAUUAAAAGUAAAACUCUGAAUGCACUAUAUUUGCAAAAUGUUUACAAUUAGCCCCAUAAUUUUCUUUUGCAUUAAUAUUAGAAGAAAACUAAACAUUUUCUAAAACUUAUUACUUUCUGAAUGUUUUGAACGUGCUGAUGUAAAUUUUUCAACUCUAAGUGUAGGUGAC